UUCCUUUUGGCCCCCGAUGCCUCCUUGAGACGAGACUCUGGAGUGGGAACCUCAGCCGAAGGGCUUCUUGAUGAAGCUUGGGGGACUGCGAGCUUGACAUCAGAGGAGGCAUCAACGACAAUGGCCGCCUAGGCAAGCACGGUCGAGCUUGUCUCCUCUACCCUCACCUUCUUUGCCGACCCAGAAGUUGCGAUGCCUUUCCUCUUGUG
rnacentral:lncRNA from 1 species